AAAUUAAAUCUCCCCAACUCCCAUUGGAUCCCAGGCCUCAUCUCAACCAUCAGCAAGACACCAAGAUCAAACACACCACAGGCAUAGCCUCAAGAAUCGGAACCAAGCCUCUCCUCGCCACUCUCACUGUGCAGUAGCCUUCUACACAUCACUGCUUGCGAUGUCUUCCUCUUCCUCCACUAGAUCAAGUUCACAUUCACAAACUGAGCUCCACAUCAGGAACUGGACCGCUGCUCGCCUCUGACAAUCCCUGAAUCCCCCUUCAACUGCCACUAUGUCCAGAGGCAGCUACCCUUGUAGGGGACAGAGCUUAUCACCCCCUGUGCCUGCUCCUUCUGUAUCUGACAUCUCAUAUCUCUCUCAAGCUAUCACAGCUUUCUUUAUAUCCUGGAGUUUGCAUGCUUCACAAAAUUCCUGUGCACAUACAUCCUUCCAUCCCAUUAUAGUUUCCUCUACUCUUCCUUCAGUCUUUCAGACAAAACUUCAGCAGAGUUCAUUCUAGCUUUUUCAAUGUAGAUGCACUAUUUAUUCAGCCUUUCCUUUAAGAAUGUCUGAGCUGGAUGACUGUCUGUCCAUCAUAGUCGACAUAGUCUUACUUUUCUGAGGAACUGGUUUCUAUAGCUACCAUGUUUACUCUGCAGCAUACAGCAGUUGAAUCAAGGUACUGGGGAGGUCAUGACUCCAAACUGUAAUGUUGAAUCUUUGCAGCCCAAACCUCCCUCUCAUACCCCAGAAUGUCCUGUCAGCGCUCUUCUACAAAGCUCACGCUCAUCUUUCUCACACCCCAAUCUGAAACCAUCUAUCACACAGGUAUCAAAAUCAAGGCCCACAGGCCGAAUCCGGCCCGACAGCAGGUUUCAUCCGGCCUGCGAGACAUUUUGGGAAGAAGGGGGACAUCUUUGAAAAACAAAUUGCACUUACCGAUGGUGAUCUGACUGACGCAGCUGUAGAAGGUUCCUGAAGAAACAUUGUAGAUGCCACUGCUGGGCUCACGGUCUAUGACAGAGGCAGACAUCAGUAUCAUACACUGCAGAAUGCCUUUACCUGCGGAUCUGGAGGAGAGACGCGUCACGAUAGCGUGGCGAGGACUGUGCGUACUUCCUGGAC